CACUAUUGUGCUGGUAGCAGGAAAAAAACAACUCGGAAACAGAGGUGAGGAGUAACAGGGAGGGGAAAAGGAACCCAAACAAACCCAAAAUGCCACAAUAGAGAGAGACCUACUUUAGCUAGCCAGAGAGACAGGACACCAAAAAAAUGAGCCCAGCGUGGACAUAGCUGUGCCAGCAAAGGUGGGUUCCCUAUAGAGCGGGGCAGAUAACUGCUCUCCAGCAGUUCCCAUGCAGUUACCCAGAUGGCUGCUUCGAGCAGCAGUCCGCUGUUGGGAACUACAUCAUGUUGUUGACAGUGAGGAUGUGCCAAUAGCAGCUCUUUUGAAAAAGAGAGCUUAUAGGUACUGU